UGGGUAGAACUGGAGCUAGAAUGCCAAGUUUUUGCCUAAAUAGAAUUAGGCCUCAUGUUCAAAUUCGUUCACCACCUAUACUAGCCAAAAACAAUGAGAAUUUAGCUAAAAAAGUUGAAUGUGAUGAUCAUGAAGAGAAAAUUAAGGAGACUUUACCAGCCAUGGGUGAGGAAAAAAACACCGGUGAUAUCGCGAAAUCGACACCGAUAAUUGGCCGGAAAAUCAUGAUUGUGAUUGAUUCUAGCCCUGAAUCCAAGAAUGCAUUGCAAUGGGCAUUAACUCAUACUGUUCAGAGCCAUGACUUACUUGUUCUUCUCUAUUUUACUAAAUCUUCUGCUAAACAAGGUUAGCCAAAAACAAUGAGAAUUUAGUUAAGAAAGUUGAAUGUGAUGAUCAUGAAGAGAAAAAGGAUACUUCAUCAACCAUGGCUGAGGAAAAAAACACCGGUGAUAUCGCGAAAUCGACACCAAUAAUUGGCCGGAAAAUCAUGAUUGUAGUUGAUUCUAGCCUUGAAUCCAAGAAUGCAUUGCAAUGGGCAUUAACUCAUACCGUUCAGGGCCAUGAUUUACUUGUUCUUCUCUAUUUUACUAAGUCUUCUUCUAAACAAGGUUUACUCUUUUACCCUUUUGCCCCUUCUUUUUA
rnacentral:lncRNA from 1 species